CGUGACGCGCCCCCAUAAAUCUGCCCGGCCCGGGGCUGCUCCGAGAACUCGUACAGUAGCGGCGUCAGACUCGACGCGCGCCUCCCAGUCCGGAGCCUAUUUGCAUAAUUGGAUCUUUCUUUCUUUCUUUUUUUUUCUUUCUUUUUUUCCUUUCCCCUCAUUCUCCCUCCCUGAAACUUGUUUGAAAACCCAAGUGAAAACUGCGACGACCUGCACGCUCAAAAGCGAGUGCCAAUUCCUGACCACCACGGCUUUAAGAAUAUCCACCAGCCACGAGGGAGCUCCGUUGCUUUCAGACUCGCCUGGGAACUGGGACGCCCCUCUGGCAAUCUGUCAGUGCCUGGAUCAGCUGCAUCCUUUCUGGGGUAUUUUCUCACCAGACUGACAGUCCUUAAGACAAGUAUGCAGUUAAGCUGCUAAGGUAAGUCUUAUGAUGUUGGAACUCUUUGCCCUGGACACACAUCAUUUCCUCCUGCUUU
rnacentral:lncRNA from 1 species